UUUUGGUUGAGGUUUGUGAGUGGCUCCUCAGAACGAUGUGUUUUGCUAUCUGCAGUUGUUACUAAAGUUGGUAAAACUAGAGAAGCAACUCUGUGUUAUGGUGUGUUUGACACUAAAUUAAUUUUACGCCGGAAUAUCCCUUUAAGGUCACAGCAGAGAUGUCAGUGCCGACCAGCUCAGCCAGAACUGCGCAGACUCUCGGUCCAUGAACAUCAUCAGCACCUUUACACUCGUUUAACAAGUAAAACAUCCACCAAGUCAAAUUUGAGCGAAGAUCCAGCAUGGAUGUGUAUGCGAUACCCCAUUUGUCCCGUACUUCCUCGUUUACAUUUUACUUCCCAGAAAAAAAAAAGUGGAUCUUCUUUGAGCUUUUUACUUGUGUAAAUCAGCUGAGAAUUAAAGGGCUGAGAACAAGCUUUGCAUUUAGAUUCUCUAACAGAGGAGCCCAAUUAAAGUCACUGGUGUUGUCCAAGGCUGCAGGGCACAGACAGACUGACACCCUCUGUAGAAAACAGCCCACUCAGGUGGGAACCAACCAACAGCCUGAAAAGUGACUCCUCAUACAAAUCAGCCCUCUGUGAUGUUUAAUGCUCUCGCAGAGGUCAUUAGAGCUGUGAUUUGUAUUUGCUGUUUUCUCCCCACCUCAGCCUGCAUCUCUCAUUUUAACCUCUACUAAUGUUUUUACCACUCUGCAAUUAUUCUCUAAACAUUCCUGCAGACUUUUCCCCCAGACUAGCCGCAGUCACUCUUACAGUUUGUGUACUUAUGCAGACUGAUGACAACCAGGGGAAAUGUUCCUGCAGAAUCAAUAACAAGAAAACAAGAUUUUCUUCUUUGCAACAACUAAAACUCAAGGAUACUUUUGUAUAGCACAUCCCUGCUUGUAGGGUACACAGUUUGGUAAGACUGCAGCCCACACGUUAUACAGCAAUUAUUCUUCUCAUUCUUAGUGUGGUUUUUGAGAACAUUUCAAAAGGACAAAAGAUGAAGCCAGAGAGUUAAAUAAUAAAUGUCAGACUAAGGAAACUAAAAAGAGUCAAAAUACAAAGAAAAACAUCACAGGAGUUGAUUGUAAAGGUAUCUGUGGAAGGAUUUAUUACCCCGUGCGCUCAACAUCUGAUCAAACUGUCCCUGAAAACAAACAACAAUAAUGCUAGUUUGCAGAAGUUGCUGGGGUAUCCAUUUCCUUAUUUUAUGACACAACCUGCUCUCUUUAUCUGCCUGAUGAGAUUAUAUACCAGGAGGAGCAGCCUGUGGUGCACAGGAUGGCAUGAUUGAAGGUAGCUGUUAAACUCAGCUCGCUGUUUGAAAGCACCCGUUGUUUGUGUCAUUUAUCAAGCGAGUCUAAGUGUUUACAGCCGUGCUAGCAGCCGUCUGUGAGGCUGUACUUAGGCGCAACGAGACAUUGAGAUGAAUUCAUACAGAGACAUGAUUGGAUGCUAGUUAUAAUGAUGCUAGCCUGGUGUUGAAAAGCAGGUGUGAGUCAUGGAAAUGUCUUUAGGACCCUAUUUCAACUCUCUCAAACGUACGUUCCACAUUGCAUGGUGCAAAGUGAAUGAGGGUCACUUACUUAUCUAAGCUGCUGGUUCACAUGGCAGUAUUUUGUCCUGCAUGCACAAUAAAACCUAAGGUUAUUAUAAUAACAAUAAUAACUUUAUUUGUAUUGCACCUUUUAAAACAGGGGUUGCUUUGACAAACAGGCAUAAACUACAUAUUUACCAGAGUGUGCAUGAUAGAGAGCUUGGUAACGAUCUCAGUCUGGAGUAUUUGGCCCAUGAAGGAUUGAGGUGAAGCUGGUUUAGUGAGGUGAAAGCAAUGAGGGUGGGAUCGACCUCAAUGCACCUUUCAGAAGGGGAAAAUACUAGUGCCUCUGUACAUUACACCUUAUCCAACAGUUUUGGGUUACUUUCAAUCAAGCACAAUUUUAGUUUUUUGCAUGUUGAAGCUCAAGUUAAUUCCCUGUUUAUUUCCUCUUUACUCACGCCCGCUGUUUUCUUUAACUUUCUGUUCAUUGUUUGAGUUGUCUGUUUGGGUUUGCUUCCAUUGUACCUCACGCAGUUUUUGUCAUCUGUUAAUAUUUGUGACUGUAUCUGUUGCUUGUUUAAUGGCCGAUAUUCAGUGCCUGCAUAUGGUAUUUGUACAGUCCUGGUAAAUAUUUAAACAGGAGGACAUAUAUAUCAUUGCCUUUGUUAGGCUACAGACCUGUUUAACAUUGCUUAAAAUCCUGCUGAUGCCGUCUCGGCUUCAUAAAGUCCAGCCUUGAUGCCUUUAUUGACAUUUGCUUCAUACGUGUCCUGCAUGUUUCAUACACUUUACUUCUACAGCAACAUUCCCACUUGCUCCUGUACUGUUGUUAUUUCCACAUGUACUUUUAGCACUGUUUUGUCACAAAGUGUUGCUCGCACUCUAAUUAAAGUGGUGUUUUUUAUUUAGUUUUUUUGUUAUUGCUUUUGUGGAGCUUAUUCUAACAUCUGGCGAGGGACUGCAGAUGGAAACAGUCUUUUGGUAAAAAUAAAAAUAGAUAAAUAGAAGUCCUCUCUUACGUCUUGUUAUCUCCUUUUAGUGUUUCUAUUGUCCUAUUACCAGUUUCUCCCUGUUAAGUUGCUGUUGACUCUUUGUAAACUCCCGAGAAACUUCCUGUUGUUUCUUGGCUGAUCUUUCUCGGUGUAUGCACGAGUUGGUUUACCUGACACAAAAAUCUCAGGUUGUUAUUGUUGCUGCUGGAAAAGUAAAAACAGGUGGUUUUUUUUUUCAGAGUGCUGUGAGCUACCUGGUCUGACACCCACCCCUUCGCAGCAGUUUACAGACAUCAAUACUUACACACAAAAAAAAACUAAAAUUCUGUUUGCUUUUGCAGGUCAUUUAAAGCUCCUAUAAGGAACUUUUGGAACAUGUCAAGUAUGGCGCCCUUUGCUGACAAAAAGUCUCUGCUUCUCUUGACCUUU